CUAAGGAGACUGCCGGUGACAAACCGGAGGAAGUGGGGAUGACGUCAAGUCAUCAUGGCCCUUACGGCCUGGGCUACACACGUGCUACAAUGGUCGGUACAAAGGGUUGCCAAGCCGCGAGGUGGAGCUAAUCCCAUAAAACCGAUCGUAGUCCGGAUCGCAGUCUGCAACUCGACUGCGUGAAGUCGGAAUCGCUAGUAAUCGUGAAUCAAAAUGUCACGGUGAAUACGUUCCCGGGCCUU
rnacentral:rRNA from 1 species